rnacentral:rRNA from 1 species
UACAGAGGUUCCAAGCGUUGUUCGGAUUUACUGGGCGUAAAGGGUGCGUAGGCGGUUGGGUAAGUCUGACGUUAAAUCUCCGAGCCUAACUCGGAAACUGCGUUGGAUACUAUCCGGCUAGAGGAAUGGAGGGGAGACUGGAAUACUUGGUGUAGCAGUGAAAUGCGUAGAUAUCAAGUGGAACACCAGUGGCGAAGGCGAGUCUCUGGACAUUUCCUGACGCUGAGGCACGAAAGCCAGGGGAGCAAACGGG